GGGGCUGUAAGGGUUUCGACGGGGAGUUGUAGCCGUGCAAGCUGCGAGCCGAGGGUGCGAUUUGCCUCGUUAAACACGAUCGCCAACGUCCUAAGUGCAGACGUUAAAGAAGCAUUGAAGGGUGUGGUUUGGGCCUGGACGAAUAGUUCAGUGCUUGAGCCUGCCCUUGCUGCUGCUUAAUUUAUUAAGCAGUCCGUCCCCGGGUUUGCUGAUAGGCCCGGCUAAGACGUUAUAAUAUCGGCUGCGCAAUCUGUCUUUUCCGGUUGGCGGGUUGCUAAGAUUUAAUAUCGGAUAGUUUGGAGAACACCUCGUUCCAGGUUAAGCUCCAAACGAACUUAAAAUAGGAACUACGCUCGUAGCGGCUUUCACGACUGCCUUUCCGGACGCGGGUUCGACUCCCGCCAGCUCCACCA
rnacentral:tmRNA from 1 species